rnacentral:rRNA from 1 species
GUCCGAAUGGGGCGAUUUAGUCGCUGGGUCUAGACCCGAAGCGGAGUGAUCUACCCAUGGCCAGGUUGAAGCGCAGGUAAGACUGCGUGGAGGACCGAACCCACUUAGGUUGAAAACUGAGGGGAUGAGCUGUGGGUAGGGGUGAAAGGCCAAUCAAACUCCGUGAUAGCUGGUUCUCCCCGAAAUGCAUUUAGGUGCAGCGUCACGUGUUUCUUACCGGAGGUAGAGCUACUGGAUAGCCAAUGGGCCCUACAAGGUUACUGACGUUAGCCAAACUCCGAAUGCCGGUAAGUGAGAGCGUGGCAGUGAGACUGCGGGGGAUAAGCUCCGUAGUCGAGAGGGAAACAGCCCAGACCACCAGCUAAGGUCCCUAAGCGUGUGCUAAGUGGGAAAGGAUGUGGAGUUGCAUUGACAACCAGGAGGUUGGCUUAGAAGCAGCCACCCUUUAAAGAGUGCGUAAUAGCUCACUGGUCAAGUGAUUCCGCGCCGACAAUGUAGCGGGGCUCAAGCACACCACCGAAGCUGUGGCAUUGACACUUUGCCCGGCCGUGUCCUUCGGGGCGCGGUCCAAGCGUGUUGAUGGGUAGGGGAGCGUCGUGUGGCGAGUGAAGCGGCGGAGUGAUCCAGCCGUGGACGCCACACGAGUGAGAAUGCAGGCAUGAGUAGCGAAUGACGGGUGAGAAACCCGUCCGCCGAAAGACCAAGGGUUCCAGGGUCAAGCUAAUCUGCCCUGGGUAAGACGGGACCUAAGGCGAGGCCGACAGGCGUAGUCGAUGGACAUUCGGUUGAUAUUCCGGAACCGGCGAAGAACCGCCCAUACCGAACCUCGUGAUGCUAAGCGCCUGAAACCUGCUGACGUCUUCGGACUGACGCGGGCGGAGCGCGCGGACCGAGCGAGUACUAGGUAAGCAAUGGAGAGACACAGAAGGGUAGCCUCCGCGUGGCGAUGGUAGUCCACGUCUAAGGGUGUAGGGCGAGGUGUAGGCAAAUCCGCACCUCACAUAGCCUGAGACCUGACAGCGACCGCGAAUGCGGGAAGCAGGGUGAUCCCAUGCUGUCAAGAAAAUCUUCUAGCGAGGUUCGAGCCGCCCGUACCCCAAACCGACUCAGGUGGUCAGGUAGAGAAUACCAAGGCGAUCGAGUGAAUCGUGGUUAAGGAAUUCGGCAAAAUACCCCCGUAACUUCGGGAGAAGGGGGGCCCUGAUCGUGACGGCACUUGCUGCCCGAGCGUGAUCGGCCGCAGAGACCAGGGAGAAGCGACUGUUUACUAAAAACACAGGUCCGUGCCAAGUCGCAAGACGAUGUAUACGGACUGACGCCUGCCCGGUGCUGGAACGUUAAGGGGACCGGUUAGCCUCACGGCGAAGCUGAGAACUUAAGCGCCAGUAAACGGCGGUGGUAACUAUAACCAUCCUAAGGUAGCGAAAUUCCUUGUCGGAUAAGUUCCGACCUGCACGAAUGGCGUAACGAUUUCUCCACUGUCUCAACCACGAACUCGGCGAAAUUGCACUACGAGUAAAGAUGCUCGUUACGCGCAGAAGGACGGAAAGACCCCGGGACCUUUACUAUAGCUUGAUAUUGGUCUUCC